rnacentral:rRNA from 1 species
GACGAACGCUGGCGGCGUGCUUAACACAUGCAAGUCGAACGGAAAGGCCCUGCUUUUGUGGGGUGCUCGAGUGGCGAACGGGUGAGUAACACGUGAGUAACCUGCCCUUGACUUUGGGAUAACUUCAGGAAACUGGGGCUAAUACCGGAUAGGAGCUCCUGCUGCAUGGUGGGGGUUGGAAAGUUUCGGCGGUUGGGGAUGGACUCGCGGCUUAUCAGCUUGUUGGUGUGGUAGUGGCUUACCAAGGCUUUGACGGGUAGCCGGCCUGAGAGGGUGACCGGCCCCAUUGGGACUGAGAUAAGGACCAGUCGCCAACGGGAGGCAGCAGCGGGGAAUAUUACACAAUGGGCGGAAGCCUGAUGCAGCAACGCCGAGUGCGGGAAGACGGACUUCGGGUUGUAAACCGCCUUCGCCUAAGACGAAGCGUGAGUGACGGUAAUGGGUAAAGAAGCACCGGCUAACUACGUG